rnacentral:rRNA from 1 species
UACGAAGGGGGCUAGCGUUGCUCGGAAUCACUGGGCGUAAAGGGUGCGUAGGCGGGUCUUUAAGUCAGGGGUGAAAUCCUGGAGCUCAACUCCAGAACUGCCUUUGAUACUGAAGAUCUUGAGUUCGGGAGAGGUGAGUGGAACUGCGAGUGUAGAGGUGAAAUUCGUAGAUAUUCGCAAGAACACCAGUGGCGAAGGCGGCUCACUGGCCCGAUACUGACGCUGAGGCACGAAAGCGUGGGGAAGGCAAACAGGG